ACAGUAGCAAUGAAAAAAAAAGUUGAAAAUCGUCUCCAUGGGACCAAAUCAACAAAAUUUAGUUUACCUGCUUAGCACUUGCACAACACAAAUCAUUUACACAUCCACAAGAGUCAAAUUUUAGUUACAUAAUCAUGUAGCUAAUAGCUCACAAAAUUCUCCGUGCUAGCGCACGACCUAGAGGUUUUCAUGGAUAGAACAUCGCCGUGCAAUUCGAACACGCCCGCUCUCCAUUAAUCACCAUCCGGCACAGUAAUAUACAUGAUUCCCCUAGAGUCGCAAAUGUUUAUCAAACGCAUCACACUAAACACCACCACAGGGUGAUCGACGUUACGGAAAUUCAUUUCGAAUGGAGUCCAACGUCCUACUGCGUUGAUUCAGAUACAACAAAUAAAAAAAAAACAAAAAAAUUAAGAAGACAUAGACAUUAUGCUUAGCAUUGUUAAUCAUCUGAAGAUAGGUUAUUUUUAGUUAUUUUGGGAUUCGGGACAAGAAAGUAACGCAAAUACAAUUUGCAAAAAAAGUUUCCCCUCCACAAUGUAUCGAGACGACGGCUUCAAUAGAUAUUACUUAGAAUAAGUUAGCUUUAGUCUUACGAUGUAAGAACCGGCGACAAACUUUCCUACUACCCGCUGCGAAAAAUAUCAAAAUCCAAAAAAAUAUUUCGUUAAUUUUUUUGACUAUGGCAGGUCUAGUCAAUUAUUUUGUGUCAAAAUCUAAUGUCCCAACAGAAGAUAUUUGACCAAAAUAUCUAUUUUUGUUGAAACUGCAAAAAAAAAAAAAAUUAAAAAAACUUGAAAAGACCAAAAAACAACUUGUCACUUAGGUACCAUCGCUAAUGUAUUUUGAAAAUAUCCAAUGUUUGCAUCUUUAGAUUAGCAAAUGCGACAUUUUAAUAUUUCAAAGGCUUUCCCGAAACAGAAAAAACGGCAAUUGAUUAAGUGAAAUGGGUCAAGCUUGGUCAGUUGUUAGAAAAAAAAUUCAAAACCAUGAUUUACCAUUGUAUGAAGCUUUCCUGAAUCUAAAGCUACUUGUAAAACGAUAAAUCAAAAAAAAAAAAACAAAAAAAUGUUAAAUUAAGUUAGAUUAAGUUAGGAUUAGUAUGUUAUUUAAUGAUUAUUGAUACAAAUACUCUCCAUAUUGCUAUAUUAGUUACAACAACUUCUUUAUACUAUUGAUAACUAUUCCUGACACACAGCUACAAAAUAUAAAAUCGCAAAAAAAUUGAAAAGAUAAAAAAAUAAUGAAAAAACAAACCUUGGUAUAGUUCAAUUUAUAUAUGAGAUUGUGAUAAAGCAAAGUCAAAGACGGUCAAAGCUUUAGCAUACCCUUGUCUACUAGUUAUAGUUAUAAAAAUAGUAAAAUACCAAAAAAAAAACAUGUCCAUGUUUGAAAAUUGUUAUACAUACGCGUCACAAAAAUGAUACAAUCACAGAAUACCCCUAAACAUAAAAAUAAAAAAAAAAAUAGUUAAUUUAGUUUAGAUUAGAUUAAGUUAGUUUUAGUCACAAUUUUGUAAAAUAUCUGAUAUUGAUUUUGUUGGCACCAAAAUCAACAGAGGAUAUUUAUGGACUUAACAUCUAUUGCCAACAAAAUUGUUUGUUUUCGUACCAAAUACAGAAAUAGCAAAACACUUAAAAUUGAAUUGAAAGAAAUCCCUAUAAGAGAAUAAUAAUGUUACAUGUACAAGUCAUAAAAAUGAUACAACUGUUGUAAAGAAGAUAAAAAAAACAAAAAAAAAUGUUAUUAGAAUUAGAUUAUAUUAGAAUUAGAUUAUAUUAGAAUUAGAUUAUAUUAGAAUUAGAUUAUAUUAGAAUAAGUUAGUUUUAGUCACAAUUUUGUAAAAUAUCCAAUGUUGAUUUGCCAGGUUCCGAAAUCAACAAAGGAUAUUUUUGGUAUUAACAUCUAUUGCCGACAGAAUUGUUUAUUUACAUUGGUUAGUCGUACAUUUGGGUCCUGAUGAGAGAUUAUUGUACAAUGUUAACUGUUCCAAAUAAAAAAAUAGAAAAUCCAA